rnacentral:rRNA from 1 species
GUAGGUGACGUACCCCCAGGGCGAGGAUAGCCACGGGAAACUGUGGGUAAUACUCGAUAACCUUCCCAAUCGUGAUAGAAGGGGAAGCAAUGGGUGUGAUUCCACCUGGGGAGCGGCUUACGCAGUAUCAGCUAGUUGGUGAGGUAACGGCUCACCAAGGCUUUGACGCUUAGGGGGUGUGAGAGCAUGGCCCCCACCACUGGCACUGAGACACUGGCCAGACACCUACGGGUGGCUGCAGUCGAGAAUCUUCGGCAAUGGACGAAAGUCUGACCGAGCGACGCCGCGUGCGGGAUGAAGGUCUUCGGAUUGUAAACCGCUGUCAGAGGGGAUGAAGUAUAUGAAAGCAAUCUUUUAUAUUUGACAGAGCCUCAGAGGAAGCACGGGCUAAGUUCGUGCCAGCAGCCGCGGUAAUACGAACUGUGCGAACGUUAUUCGGAAUCACUGGGCUUAAAGGGUGCGUAGGCGGUUAUCUAAGUCACGUGUGAAAUCUUCCGGCUCAACCGGAAAACUGCGCGUGAUACUGGAUAACUU